rnacentral:rRNA from 1 species
CUCAGGAUGAACGCUAGCGACAGGCUUAACACAUGCAAGUCGAGGGGCAGCGGGGGUGCAGGCUUGCCUGCACCUGCCGGCGACCGGCGCACGGGUGAGUAACACGUAUGGAACCUGCCCGCCACAGGGGGAUAACCCGGGGAAACCCGGCCUAAUACCCCAUGCCGCCCGGACCGGGCAUCCGGACCGGGCGAAAGGAGGAAUCCGGUGGCGGCUGGGCAUGCGGCGCAUUAGCUUGACGGCGGGGUAACGGCCCACCGUGGCGACGAUGCGUAGGGGUUCUGAGAGGAAGGCCCCCCACACUGGAACUGAGACACGGUCCAGACUCCUACGGGAGGCAGCAGUGAGGAAUAUUGGUCAAUGGGCGGAAGCCUGAACCAGCCAAGUCGCGUGAGGGAAUAAGGCCCUACGGGUCGUAAACCUCUUUUGCCGGGGAGCAAGGGCCGGGACGAGUCCCGGCCCGGAGAGUACCCGGAGAAAAAGCAUCGGCUAACUCCGUGCCAGCAGCCGCGGUAAUACGGAGGAUGCGAGCGUUAUCCGGAUUUAUUGGGUUUAAAGGGUGCGUAGGCGGGCUUUUAAGUCAGCGGUAAAAAUUCGGGGCUCAACCCCGUCCGGCCGUUGAAACUGGGGGCCUUGAGUGGGCGAGAAGAAGGCGGAAUGCGUGGUGUAGCGGUGAAAUGCAUAGAUAUCACGCAGAACCCCGAUUGCGAAGGCAGCCUUCCGGCGCCCUACUGACGCUGAGGCACGAAAGUGCGGGGAUCGAACAGGAUUAGAUACCCUGGUAGUCCGCACAGUAAACGAUGGAUGCCAGCUGUCCGGGCCGAAUGGGGCCUGGGUGGCAAAGCGAAAGCGUUAAGCAUCCCACCUGGGGAGUACGCCGGCAACGGUGAAACUCAAAGGAAUUGACGGGGGCCCGCACAAGCGGAGGAACAUGUGGUUUAAUUCGAUGAUACGCGAGGAACCUUACCCGGGCUCAAACGCGUCAGGGAUCCCCUUCGAAAGGAGGGGAGUCAGCAAUGACCUGGCGCGAGGUGCUGCAUGGUUGUCGUCAGCUCGUGCCGUGAGGUGUCGGCUUAAGUGCCAUAACGAGCGCAACCCCUACCGACAGUUGCUAACUGGUGAAGCAGAGGACUCUGUCGGGACUGCCGGCGCAAGCUGCGAGGAAGGCGGGGAUGACGUCAAAUCAGCACGGCCCUUACGUCCGGGGCGACACACGUGUUACAAUGGCAGGUACAGCGGGAAGCCACCGGGCGACCGGGCGCGGAACCCGAAAACCUGUCUCAGUUCGGAUCGGAGUCUGCAACCCGACUCCGUGAAGCUGGAUUCGCUAGUAAUCGCGCAUCAGCCACGGCGCGGUGAAUACGUUCCCGGGCCUUGUACACACCGCCCGUCAAGCCAUGGGAGCCGGGGGUGCCUGAAGUCCGUGACCGCAAGGGGCGGCCUAGGGUAAAACCGGGACUGGGGCUAAGUCGUAACA